GAUUAACGCUGGCGGCGUGCCUAACACAUGCAAGUCGAGCGGCAGCGAGUUUUACACUGAAUUCUGGAAGCUUCUAGUUGAAAGAGAAGAUUUAUUCAAGAAUUUUGUGUAAAAUGUCGGCGAGCGGCGGACGGCUGAGUAACGCGUAGGAACGUACCCCAAAGUGAGGGAUAACGCAUCGAAAGGUGUGCUAAUACCGCAUAUGGUCUUCGGAUUAAAGCCUUCGGGCGCUUUGGGAACGGCCUGCGUAAGAUUAGAUAGUUGGUGGGGUAAUGGCCUACCAAGUCGACGAUCUUUAACUGGUUUGAGAGGAUGAUCAGUCAGACUGGAACUGAGACACGGUCCAGACUCCUACGGGAGGCAGCAGUGAGGAAUCUUCCACAAUGGGCGAAAGCCUGAUGGAGCAACGCCGCGUGCAGGAUGAAGGCCUUCGGGUUGUAAACUGCUUUUAUAAGUGAGGAUUAUGACAGUAACUUAUGAAUAAGGAUCGGCUAACUACGUG
rnacentral:rRNA from 1 species